UACCUAGUAGUGGGGGAUAGCACGGGGAAACUCGUAUUAAUACCGCAUACGACCUACGGGAGAAAGGGGGCAGUUUACUGCUCUCGCUAUUAGAUGAGCCUAAGUCGGAUUAGCUAGAUGGUGGGGUAAAGGCCUACCAUGGCGACGAUCUGUAGCUGGUCUGAGAGGAUGAUCAGCCACACCGGGACUGAGACACGGCCCGGACUCCUACGGGAGGCAGCAGUGGGGAAUAUUGGACAAUGGGGGCAACCCUGAUCCAGCCAUGCCGCGUGUGUGAAGAAGGCCUUUUGGUUGUAAAGCACUUUAAGCAGUGAAGAAGACUCCAUGGUUAAUACCCAUGGACGAUGACAUUAGCUGCAGAAUAAGCACCGGCUAACUCUGUGCCAGCAGCCGCGGUAAUACAGAGGGUGCAAGCGUUAAUCGGAAUUACUGGGCGUAAAGGGAGCGUAGGUGGCUCGAUAAGUCAGAUGUGAAAUCCCCGGGCUCAACCUGGGAACUGCAUCUGAUACUGUUGAGCUAGAGUAUGUGAGAGGAAGGUAGAAUUCCAGGUGUAGCGGUGAAAUGCGUAGAGAUCUGGAGGAAUACCGAUGGCGAAGGCAGCCUUCUGGCAUAAUACUGACACUGAGGCUCGAAAGCGUGGGUAGCAAACAGGAUUAGAUACCCUGGUAGUCCACGCCGUAAACGAUGUCUACUAGUCGUUGGGUCCCUUGAGGACUUAGUGACGCAGCUAACGCAAUAAGUAGACCGCCUGGGGAGUACGGCCGCAAGGUUAAAACUCAAAUGAAUUGACGGGGGCCCGCACAAGCGGUGGAGCAUGUGGUUUAAU
rnacentral:rRNA from 1 species